AAUGGUUGAAAAGAAGAGAAAGAGAAAGAGAGAGAGAGAGAGAGUGAGAGAGAUGGAAAGAGAGAGAAAAGAUAGAGAAUGAAGGAAAGAGGAAUAAUGAUAGCAUGGUGUAUGGGUAGUUGUGAAUGACAACCAGUAAGAGUGGUGGCAAUCGGUGUCACAACGGGGACAAUAAUGUAGGUAAGCAGAUUGGCGAUAAAGAAGAAGAAAAUAGAAAAGAAGAAAGAAAGAAAAAAAAUAAAAGAAUAAUGAGAGGGGGAAAAAAGUGCCUAGUAGUCGAGAAAAGAAAAUGGAGAAAAAAAAAACGAAGGGUAAGAGAGAGGUCAUUAAGUGUGUGUGUGUGUGUGUGUGUGUGUGUGUGUGUGUGAGAGAGAGAGAGAGAGAGAGAGAGAGAGAGAGAUAAAGGAAGGGAAAAAUAAGGUCUUUAAGACUUUUGUUUGAAGAUUUAGGAUGUAGUCUUCUUAAUGAGUAU
rnacentral:lncRNA from 1 species